GGAUCGGUAGCUCAAUCGGUAGAGCAAUAGUACUCAAAGUAAGUACUAGAGGCAGUGGGAUCGAAACCCACCUGAUCCA
rnacentral:tRNA from 1 species